CAUCCAUCGAGACCGGCAGAGGGACAGGCCCUUUGAAGCCGGGGCAACCCAAGGCGGCGCAAGCCGCGUGAAGGUGCCAAUUCCUGCGGCCCGCCCUGGAGGCGUUGGUCGGAAGAUGGUUG
rnacentral:ncRNA from 1 species